GACCACUCAUGUAGCCUAGUGGUUAGAGUGUCGGCAUCGGAUGCGGGAAGUCACGGGUUCAAACCCCGGCCGAGUCA